UACGGGGGGGGCAAGCGUUGUUCGGAAUUACUGGGCGUAAAGGGCUCGUAGGCGGCCAACUAAGUCGGACGUGAAAUCCCUCGGCUUAACCGGGGAACUGCGUCCGAUACUGGAUGGCUUGAGUUUGGGAGAGGGAUGCGGAAUUCCAGGUGUAGCGGUGAAAUGCGUAGAUACCUGGAGGAACACCGGUGGCGAAGGCGGCAUCCUGGACCAACACUGACGCUGAGGAGCGAAAGCCAGGGGAGCAAACGGG
rnacentral:rRNA from 1 species